rnacentral:rRNA from 1 species
GUGGGGAAUAUUGGACAAUGGGCGCAAGCCUGAUCCAGCCAUGCCGCGUGCAGGAAGACGCAUCUAUGGUGUGUAAACUGCUUUUGUACGGGAAGAAACACUCCCUCGUGAGGGAGCUUGACGGUACCGUAAGAAUAAGGAUCGGCUAACUCCGUGCCAGCAGCCGCGGUAAUACGGAGGAUCCAAGCGUUAUCCGGAAUCAUUGGGUUUAAAGGGUCCGUAGGCGGUUUAAUAAGUCAGUGGUGAAAGCCCAUCGCUCAACGAUGGAACGGCCAUUGAUACUGUUAGACUUGAAUUACAAGGAAGUAACUAGAAUAUGUAGUGUAGCGGUGAAAUGCUUAGAUAUUACAUGGAAUACCAAUUGCGAAGGCAGGUUACUACUUGUGGAUUGACGCUGAUGGACGAAAGCGUGGGGAGCGAACAGGAUUAGAAACCCGGGUAGUCU